UGGGGAAUAUUGGACAAUGGGGGCAACCCUGAUCCAGCCAUGCCGCGUGAGUGAUGAAGGCCUUAGGGUUGUAAAGCUCUUUUAUCCGGGACGAUAAUGACGGUACCGGAGGAAUAAGCCCCGGCUAACUUCGUGCCAGCAGCCGCGGUAAUACGAAGGGGGCUAGCGUUGCUCGGAAUCACUGGGCGUAAAGGGCGCGUAGGCGGUCUUUUAAGUCGGGGGUGAAAGCCUGUGGCUCAACCACAGAAUUGCCUUCGAUACUGGGAGACUUGAGUUCGGAAGAGGUUGGUGGAACUGCGAGUGUAGAGGUGAAAUUCGUAGAUAUUCGCAAGAACACCGGUGGCGAAGGCGGCCAACUGGUCCGACACUGACGCUGAGGCGCGAAAGCGUGGGGAGCAAACAGG
rnacentral:rRNA from 4 species